CUGGAAGAUCUUUUUUAUUUUCCCUUGCCGCCUCCUAAGCUGGCAACGUCCUGCGAGUGGCUAUUUUGCUUUUGCACCGAGAGAAGAGCUUCCCCCUCGCCCUGUCUUCUGACACUUAUGGAUGAAACCAACACCGAUGUCGAACCUGUAAUGAGCGCCAAUGUUUUGACCUUUCAAUAGAGAGCUGAUUUUGGAGAACGGCUUACUCCUGUGAUUGAAAAACUCUCUGGAAGGUUGAUGGAGCAUAAGCAUGAUAGCCCUGUUAAUUUCCAGAAGUUGUCUAUGAUGACCUGACUGGAAGGCUUAUUGCAAAGGAGUGGCGUGCUUCUUCCAAUGCGU